CUUUGAAAAUCGGGACUAGGAGGUGCGGAGUGGUGACUGACGCCUGUAAUCCCAGCACUUUGGGAGGCCGAGGCGGGCGGAUCAUAAGGAAAGACUGAAAACCGCAGAAUGAUAACAAGCUGGAAAAGCAGGAAACAACAGGGCAAAGGAAAAGGAAGACCACAUUCCCCUUCCCUCGGUCAGUAGCCAGCUAGAUGAAGGCUUCCACUGAUGGAGAGCCCGACGAUAUUCUGCAUUCAGUUAAUGGACAAUCAAGGUGCAUAAAGCAUAUGCAUAUCUCCGUCUCCUCUGCCUGGAAUGAUGCACAACAUGUUCUCCAUUGUUUCUUUGGUGAAAAAUAGCCAUAUGGCCCCAUAGGGAUGCGGUACGAUCUGGGAAGUAUUGUCUCUGGCUGAAAAACUGCUCACCAGCAGUAGCUAUAUUCUACUAAGGGGAAUAUGAAUCUUUGAUGGACAGCUAGCCAUCUCUGUCACACUGCCUUUCUUGCCACCUGGUAGGCAUCCAAACUCUUUCUUGUUCUACACAGAAUUCAAUCAUCUGCUUUUUGAGCAAAGCAACCAUAAGUGUCAUACAGCUGCUGCAUCCAGUGAAGAGUCAGGACCUCUAGGUGAUGAAUGAUUCACUCCAGCAGCAGUGAAUAUGACUCCCUGUGCUCUGAAAAUAUAUGAACUACAAGAAAAGUUGUCUAUCUACUCCACUCUCCACCGCCAACAUCCAAUACACAGUGGUAGAGCAGGGACAAAGAAGUACAAUAAAAGCUCACAUUCUAAAAAGAAAAGCAGGGGACGUAUGGCAGUCACUGGUCCACAGUAAUGAUGAAAACUUGAAGGGUAGGCACUGUGAGAUUGUUUAAUCAGGUAAGGGGAGAACUUCUUAAUUAGUCUCUGAUUCUACCUUCUGGGAAGAACUCAUUUGUUCAUUGCUCUAUUUGGCCACUGUCUCCAUGGAUCAGAACUAUCUUCUGGAAUGUUCUGUCUUGUCCAUUAUAUUGCUGGCCGCAUCUGAAGUGGAUUUUAGAAUAUGUGCCCCUACUUGGGGUGUACUUUCACAAAUUUUUUUCCUGUUUGUGCAAGUUUGAGAGCACAGUGACUGUCUGAAGGCUCAAUGAUAGGUUACUAGUUUGCUUAGCAAUAUAAUUUGUCAAAACUUUGUAGGCUUCUUAUCUAUUUGUUUCCAGUUCCAUGUACUAUAACCCCAUCCAAAUUUCUUUUUAAGACCGUAGUUCUCAGGUCAGCUUUUUAAAAUUUUUCCUGCCCAUUGCUUCUCUCUUUUAACUUGAUAGUGACUACUUUGAGGCAAUCUGGAAAAAUAUGAUUGAAUAGCAAAUCCAUGUCAUUAAUGAACCUCCAUUGCUCAAGAUUUAUCAAUCAUAAGACUGUUUGGUGUCUGCAGCAGUAGUGGUUUUUUCUUUGUUUGAUUGUUUUUCCAAUCCUGAAAGUUCCUUUCUCUUGCUCACAUUUAGUUUUGCUUGCAAACUGGUCAAUUUUCAUCUAAGCAUAACUCUUUCUUUUACUACCCUGCUAAACACCACAAUUAAUAAUCAACUAACAUUGCUAACAUGCCUUUCCAAUUAUUUUCCCCUGGAGCAGAGGCUCUUUUUAUUCCCCAUGAACCCCUUUGGUCGUCUACAGAAUCCUAUCAACUUGUUCUCAGAAUUUAAGAAAAUAUAUAAAGUAA